rnacentral:rRNA from 1 species
AUACGGAAGGUCCGGGCGUUAUCCGGAUUUAUUGGGUUUAAAGGGAGCGCAGGCGGAGAUGCAAGCUGGACGUCAAAUUUCGGGGCUCAACCCCGUCUCGCGUCGCGAACUGCGUCCCUUGGUUGCGGGAAGGGGAGGCGGAACUCGUGGUGUAGCGGUGAAAUGCAUAGAUAUCACGAAGAACUCCGAUCGCGAAGCCAGCCGGCCGGCCGGUAAACGACGCUCAUGCUCGAAGGUGCGGGUAUCAAACAGGAUUAGAUAGCCUGGUAGUCCGCACAGUAAACGAUGGACACCCGCGGUUUGGCCUGUAUGGCUGAGCCGCCAAGCGAAAGCGUUAAGUGUCCCACCUGGGGAGUACGCCGGCAACGGUGAAACUCAAAUGAAUUGGCGGGG